rnacentral:rRNA from 1 species
AGAGUUUGAUCAUGGCUCAGGAUGAACGCUGGCGGCGUGCUUAACACAUGCAAGUCGAACGGAACUCUUUGGAUCGAGGCUUCGGCCAAGUGAAUCAGAGUUUAGUGGCGGACGGGUGAGUAACGCGUGAGGAACCUGCCUUUCAGAGGGGAAUAACAGUUGGAAACGACUGCUAAUACCGCAUAACGCAUAGAGACCGCAUGAUUUCUAUGCCAAAGAUUAUAUCGCUGAAAGAUGGCCUCGCGUCUGAUUAGCUAGUUGGCGGGGUAACGGCCCACCAAGGCGACGAUCAGUAGCCGGACUGAGAGGUUGGCCGGCCACAUUGGGACUGAGAUACGGCCCAGACUCCUACGGGAGGCAGCAGUGGGGAAUAUUGGGCAAUGGGCGCAAGCCUGACCCAGCAACGCCGCGUGAAGGAAGAAGGUCUUCGGAUUGUAAACUUCUUUUAACAGGGACGAUAGUGACGGUACCUGUUGAAUAAGCUCCGGCUAACUACGUGCCAGCAGCCGCGGUAAUACGUAGGGAGCUAGCGUUAUCCGGAUUUACUGGGUGUAAAGGGCGUGUAGGCGGGAUUGCAAGUCAGAUGUGAAAACUCCGGGCUCAACUCGGAGCCUGCAUUUGAAACUGUAGUUCUUGAGUGAUGGAGAGGCAAGCGGAAUUCCUAGUGUAGCGGUGAAAUGCGUAGAUAUUAGGAGGAACACCAGUGGCGAAGGCGGCUUGCUGGACAUUAACUGACGCUAAGGCGCGAAAGCGUGGGGAGCAAACAGGAUUAGAUACCCUGGUAGUCCACGCCGUAAACG